UGUAAUCGAUCCUAUAUCCGAAGCAUAUGGGACACGAUUCAUGAUGUCUUACAUAAAGACUAAACCAGUCUUUUGCUAUAAUAUUUCCAUUUCAAUUUGCCAAGUUCUCAUAAUUCAGAUUAUGAAAAGGGAUGCCGUAAUCAUAAUCGAAUUUUAGAACGCAAAUAAUGGACCCAUAUACAGAAUUUCCUUAUGUUGAGCCAUUCCAACAUGAAAUUCAUAUAUAUCCUUGACUAAAUGAUUAAAACCUCACGAUCUAAGCUUAUAGAUUUGAGAUGAAGCAUAAUUUCCUCUCCCUUAAUUAUAGCAAAACAACUUUUUCCCAAUUGAAACUUUUGUUUUCUAUAAUUAACAUUGCUAACUUGCAAUACUUAUCAUAAUUAUCAUGCUCCCACUAACAUGAUGAUUAUUAGCAUAACACUUAUGCUCCCACUAGCUUUGACAUGUACUCAGAAAUCAGCUGGACAGUCUGAAAUUUAGAUUCAUACACCCUUUCCGUAGAUAGCUCACCUGUGUGUCUAAGCAAUUUCAAGAACCAUGAAAAGGGAUACCGUAAUCAUGGUCUCAAUUGCUUAGGCAUUUGCCAUUUCUCACAAGUCCAUGUUAGUGUGCCGGUUAACCACACGCGCUCCACUAACGACUUUUGAAAAUGCAAAUAACACAAUUGAUAUCUUCGUAAAAUCUACUUAGUGAAAGCGUUUCCUCACCAUCAUUUUCAUGAAUCGGAGAGAAACCUUAUGACACUUAGAUUUAUAUGGUGUAUGAGUUCCUACCCAUAUGAAUUUGUCAAACCAUAAUCACAAGACAAAGAUAAUGACAAAUCCAAAACCAUAUGGAUUGAACUCAAUCUUAACUUCUUGCCACCUGGCAGCUCAAGGGCCUGCCAUUGCUUCCAAGUUGUUAUGCAACAAACUGAGAACUCUAAGAACUCAUAUGCAAAGCCAACUUUAACUGGAAUGGGCACAGAUAUGUCAACACGAUAGGUUAUAAACCUCAAGUCGUGUGCUAGUGAAGAACUUUAGGUUUUAUUCUUGAUUAUUUCUUGAGACUUUCAAGACCUUUAAGACUCCCACUGUCCUCUUGACAUAUAAGACUCCCUUGUCAAACAUCCAAGAGAUAGUGCGGAUUCUAAUCAAGAAAAACACUUUACCCAAUUGGCCUAAGUUGGUCUUUGUUUUAUCCAAAACAUCACAACUUACCAAUUUCAAAUGUACAAGAGUAGAAAACUUUUACUCUUACAUUUGACAAGUGUUUUAAACCUUCUUUAAGACAUGUCACUCAAAUGACAAUCUUGGAGUAUGACUCUAAGACUUGUAUUGGAACGAAGUAUGACUCAUCUUCUUGAUUUAACCAUUUCAACAAUUCAAGUUCCUCUUCUUAGUCAUAAGAAUGCACUAAGAUUUCCUUAGAGAACUAAUUUUGAUAUGGUUUCUUAAUCAUUAAGAUGAUCACAAAACUGAUACUAAAGUACUCUCCCAUCUUUUCAGAUUUGAGAAACUUUUAUCCUUCUGCCUUAUUUGAUUCUUCUUAUCGAUCUUUAGUGGUGGACUUAAUCAGUGCACAAGAAUGUGUACUCGAUCCCUAAGUCCUUUACUUGACUCACACAUCCAUGUGAACAAGUAAUUAGUCUUAAUUUUCCAAAACUUGAAAGUUCUCAUUCAUCAUGCUAUACAACUUGCAUGAUUCCAAGUUCCGGUCCAAUUGAAACUUGGGUGAUGAGAAUCUUUCCUUAUUUGGUAAAUUUAGACAUUACCACAAAUGAAAGAAUCAAUUUCAUAUUUCCACUCUUGCUCUUAAUGGAAUCAUAUAAGCAACAAUUUUUCCUCAAAUGCCAUUGUAAGGAUAUUUUAAAAUAAAUAAAAUCAAAAAAAUUUUCUUUUAUUUUAAAACUUUGCGGAAAAACUUAUCCUUACAAUCCAUAUGAAAACUUGUUGUUAUCUAUUCCUAAGCAAUAUCUCAUAACUCCUAAGAAGUAGCUCAAGAAUCCGAUCUUCAAACUAUGCGAUAGAAAUCCAUCUACGCCAUCAGAUUCAGCAUAUUCUUUCUUUAAGUUUCUUCACUUUUCUUUGAUUCUUAAAACAUCACCAUGUGACCCAGUCACAUCAUGUAUCAAGAAUCUCAGAAUAGAAACUUAACAGAGUUAGAUAGUGGACUUUACCUGAAGUAGAGUCAAACUUAUUGACUUUAACAUCCUUAGGUAAAUUUGGCAGCUUCGCAACCAAUGCCCCUUCCUUUGGCAAUAUAAACAUAUGGACCCUUUGAUAAUGGUACACGGGACUAUCACAGACUUAGCUUUUCUCUUUACCAUUUGGUCAACCGAGUUGACUAUGGCCGAUCCCUUUCCAUUGGGAAGAGAAUGCUUUACUGGAUAUCCAAUGUCAUCAUUGUCAAUGUCCAUAAAGUUUUAGGAAGUUGAUCUUAGCAAAUAGAUAAGAUCAUUAAGGGUCUUGUCAUAGUCUGUUUCAUAGGUGUCCCAAAGGAACUCACUAUGUGACUUAGAAAGUGGUUGAACCACCAACUUUCUCAAGACUUUGACACCCAACUCUCCCGGCUUGUCAAUAUGUGACUACAUCUCCAAGAUGUGACCACACCUAGACCUUGCCUUGCCAAUAGGGCCUGAGUGACCUUAAACUUUUCAAGAACUUGUGGGUUAGGGAGAAUAAUUUGAAGAGGUGAAGAAGUAUGAUAUCCAUGGGACAUCAUCUUCAUUAGGAAACCUUGUUUCAAGAGAUUUGGGAAGAUCAUAGGUGUCUAAACCAGACAUCUUUUGGGAGAUAUUCAAGAUAGUUGAUUUAAAGUCCUUAAUAUGACACCCAAUAUGAAAUAUUAAGGCUAGGACCCAACAAACUAUUUUAUAACUUAGAAGAGGUAUGCCGUAAUCCAAGCUAUAAAAUAUUUGAAGGUAGGUGAAUGACGAUUCACCAAUUUCCACCAAGAUAAACGAAAUGUAUUAUUAGGUUUUAAUUGGUUUUGAAACUCCUAGAUCUUUGAGAUUCAUUGAACUUUUCAAAGGCAUGUUUCAAUCUCGAGUGUGCCCUUCAGGUUUUGUGACUGGGAUGCCGAGGAUCACAAAACAAGGUGUGAAGUAACCAUGCAAAUCACUUGGUACCCUUAAUAAAUUACCCCUCAAUCGAUGUGCCGGUUAACCACACACGCUCCAUCGAUACUAUGAUAAAUAUUAAGUCACCCUUUACCUACCUUGUUAAGUCCAAGUUAGUGUGCCGGUUAACCACACACGCUCCACUAACGACUUAGACAAAGUGUAAAGUGUAAUUUCAUGGAUUAGCACCUUAUUCACAUUUUUCCUAAGUAACUAAGAUUGGGUAUUAUUAAGAGUUUAGUUACUUAGUAUUAUCAUUAAUACUUUUAAUGAAGGGAGAAUUCUAGUCCUGUCAAACCCGUUCGGCUAACGACCCUCCACCAGUCAAGCAAGCGGUGGGUGAGAGUGGACACCCAUUAAGUUGCCAUUUUAUAGGCAACAACCUUAUACCCACCUUAUAGACCGGCUUCGUGAAUGAGGCGUACUAGCGGUAAGACUGACUUUACUCUUAUACAUAUAUAUAUUAUUAACUUAUAAUAUUAUAAAGUAUAAGGGUUGAAUUUUAACUUUUAAAAUUCUAAGGGCUAACUUGGAAUUAAAGUAUUCAUACUUGAAAACUUUUCAAAUUCCAAAACUUGAGGGCAAGUUUUGAAACUAUUCAAAACUAAUUAAUUCCAUAACUUAUGUGUUUAAAGUAGUUUUAAUCCAAAAACUCUUCAAGUUCCAUAACUUGAGGACAAGUUAUGGAAGACUUUAAACUAAUAAAAGAACUAACUUUUUCUUUAUUUUAUAACUUAUGGAUUUAAUUAUGGUUACAUAUUUUUCUUUAAUGAAGUGACUCUUGAACUUCCAUAACUUGAGGACAAGUUAUGGAGUCAAAAAAAAUUAUUCAAUGACACAAGACUCUUCAUUUUGUAACCAUUGCCAACUUUUAUGAGUUUUAUGAGUCUUUAAUGUGACUCUUCAUGUAACUUGAGGACAAGUUACACAAACACAUUUUAUACUCAACUCUUAGAUUAAAAUGGAUUGAAAACAACUAUUUCACUCAACAUUUCUAUUAAUCUAAGCAACUCAUAAGAACAAGAUAAUUCAAAUCAAACUUUUUCAUGUAAUUAGUCUAAACCUUAAACUAAUACAAAACAUGAAUCUAUUGACAAUUAUCUUUGAAAAUGGAUUAGCAUGAACAUUACCACAUCAAAAACAAGUUUAUAAGUUCAAAAACAACUUAGGGUAAUGUUCCUAGUCCAUUUCUAGCCAAAAAACUCGAAAAUAUGCUGUCUGGGGGUCCAACUCGUCGAGUGCAUGAACAAACUCGGCGAGUUGGAUCGAAUUCAUCACUUUUUAGGCAUGGACUCGUCGAGUCUCCUGAUGGACUCGCCGAGUCUGAUGGCCAGACAGCACCAGAUUCGUUUUUUCAGCUUCUAUUGCAGGUAUAACAAGAAAACAAGCCUAGGCUCUGAUACCACUGUUGGGUUUUGAGCAUUCUAACACUCCUAAGUGUACAUGCAACCCUAAAUACCUUGGAUCUAUGUUUUCUCUAUUAUACAUGCAAAUAAGAACUUCCAAGGUAUUAUCCUAAUCUAGCAUACAAAACAAUGACUAUAACAAGAUAGAAUACAUACCUCUUUGAUGUAGAAAGUCUUCAUGAAGCUUGAGUGCCUAGUGCCCCAAGUGUGACACCUCAAAUGGAAUCACAAUCAUCAAAACACUUGGAAUGACUUGAGAGAAUUCUACACUCUUCAAAAUCGGCUAGCCCUUUCUUCACUAUCACUAGUGGCCGAUUUUUCCUCAAUAAUAAGAUGCUUAUAUAGUUACACAAUUAGGGUAAACUCUUAAUUGUCAUGGCUUUCCAUUUCCUUGGAUCCAUGGGUACAAAUACACCAUGGAGCAUCCAUGGACCAUCCUAUGGGUUUUAGCCCAACUUGAUUAUCCAUGGAGCAUUAGCCCACUAUACAAGUAUGGAUGAUUUACACAAUCAACCCAUAUAUUUAAUUAGUCUUCUUUUGAUCACUUAAUUAAUCCUAGAUUAAUUCUUGAUCAAUACUAAUUAAAUAAUCUUAUUAUUCUUAUUAUUAAUAUACUAGAACUUAUAAUAUAUUAAUAACCAUAAGUGUCUUAUUUCUCUCAUUAUAGUCUAUCCAAGUGCAUGAUGGUAUGCAACCCAAAUGGACCAUGCCGGGUCGGGUCAAGUCUUACCAAUUAUAGUUAUGGACUUAGACAUUAAUCCAACAGUCUCCCACUUGGAUAAGUCUAAAACUAUUAUUGCGUAUGACUUCAGGAACCAACUGGCAAUCGUAGCUCUCAAAAGCUUCUGUCGAACUCUGACCUUGUAGAUGAACUCUGACCUUUGUCAAUGACUUGUCCAUUAGAUAAGGGAUCAUAUAUUCCUCCAUUCUAGAUAUCAUAUGGACUGAGACAUGGAUUAUAAUCAUUCUCUCUGUCCAUUUGUUGUUUCCCGAUUUCCGAUUUAUGACGACUGACUAAUUGAACAAAUCAAAUCAGUCCUGGCCCGGCCGAGCACUUCCAUUUGUCAUCAUCAAAUCAUCGAGGGGCCCACAGAUAUCGCUUUUAUCCCGAAGGUAAAAGGAACGGAUAAACUUCGACUCAUAUGGCUUGUUCUACUACUUGUUGAAUCAUACACAAAGGCACGUUUUAUAGCACCGAGUUACCAAAUGCGUUUUCGUGCAAUCAAUGUACUAUCAACUCAUAGUAACAACUCAUAUCUCUAGGUUUGAAGAAUAUAAGAUAUUAUCGUCUCAUGAUCACUCGUGAUAAAAUCCAUGAAGUGAUUCCAAUGAGCGCGGGUUGAAUCCAAUACUCAGAACUUAUGAGCACUCAUGAGUGUUGUAGCCCUUUGUCCAACACCUUAGACCUCUACAAGCCAACCCAUGACAGUCUUAAUUCAUAUCUACUUCCAACAUAUGACCGACUGUGGAUGGUUUGAAUAACUUAGUCAUUCCGGAAGAAUAACCCAGUUUAUUCGGGAAGUCAAAACAUGCAAAAUGAAACACAAUAAUAAUUGAAUCCAAUAUGGUAUCAACCCUUUGAACAUAAAUAAAACACCUUUUAUUUAUCACCAUAUGAUUACACAUUAUUCAUUGUAUACUGUUUCAGCUAUCAACUUUAUUCUUGAAUUUAAAACAAUAGUUGUCCCAUGCUCCAAGCAUGUACACUAUGUUUUCUUAAACACUAGUCAUGCCACACACCAAGUAUGCAUACUAUGUUUGUCUAUGAUCUUUACUUUGUGAACUAGAUCAAUUGAACAUAACUUCAAUGAUUCUCUUUUCACACUCCCAAAUCCUUACUGCAAAUGCAAGAAUUCCAAAUUCAUGCCAUUUACUGAAAUCUGUUAGAUUCUAAACUUAUAUGCAUUGAUCCUCUUGUAAUGAUUAUGCACAAAGUCACAAAGACUUGGCAACAAUCAUUACAGAGUAUUCCAAAGGAGAUCAACUCCUUGGAAAUAUCCUUCUUGCAUUAAGUUUCCUUAAUCUUACACAGAUUGAAAAUUCUAACUUUGAAACAUUUCCAGAUUCCAUUUUGACUAUCACUUCUGAACAAGAGUUGCCUCCUUACAGAUUAUGUCAAUAUGGUCCUUCCAGAAUUAUCACUAUACUUCCAACUGUCCUUGAGCAACCAAUCUUUGGUAAACCUUAGAUUGUCCUCGACAAUUGUUUAAUCCUUUUAGUCAUAUCCAGUUCUAAACCUUUUCCCUUCUUAAUGCCCCAGGCAUUUGGAAAAUUUUAGAACGGAUGAAUAUAGCACAUGUAAUCGAUCCUAUAUCCGAAGCAUAUGGGACACGAUUCAUGAUGUCUCACAUAAAGACUAAACCAGUCUUUUGCUAUAAUAUUUCCAUUUCAAUUUGCCAAGUUCUCAUAAUUCAGAUUAUGAAAAGGGAUGCCGUAAUCAUAAUCGAAUUUUAGAACGCAAAUAAUGGACCCAUAUACAGAAUUUCCUUAUGUUGAGCCAUUCCAACAUGAAAUUCAUAUAUAUCCUUGACUAAAUGAUUAAAACCUCACGAUCUAAGCUUAUAGAUUUGAGAUGAAGUAUAAUUUCCUCUCCCUUAAUUAUAGCAAAACAACUCUUUCCCAGUUGAAACUUUUGUUUUCUAUAAUUAACAUUGCUAACUUGCAACCUUUAUCAUAAUUAUCAUGCUCCCACUAACAUGAUGAUUAUUAGCAUAACACUUAUGCUCCCACUAGCUUUGACAUAUACUCAGAAAUCAGCUGACUUUCUUACCAAAGUUCAGAUUUCUGAUACUAGAUUGUUUUGAUAAAACUUUAUCAAAAUCAUACACCUCUUUUAGAUAGCUCACAGGUGUGUCUAAACAAUUUUAGAACUAUGAAAAGGGAUGCCGUAAUCAUAGUCUCAAUUGUUUAGACCUUUUUGCCACUUCUCACAAGUCCAUGUUAGUGUGCCGGUUAACCACACAGCUCCACUAACGACUUUGAGAAUGCAAAUAUCACAAUUGUUAUCUACUUCAAAUCUACUUGGUGGAAGUGUUUCCUCACCAUCAUUUUCAUGAAUCGGAGAGAAACCUUAUGACCCUUAGAUUUAAUGGUGUAUGUGUUCUUAUCCAUGUGAAUUGUCAAAACCAUAGUCACAAGACAAGGAUAAUGACAAAUCCA
rnacentral:lncRNA from 1 species